rnacentral:lncRNA from 1 species
ACUCAUUUGGCAGCUAUCAACGGAGUAUUCACAGUACGCUGCUCACAGUUCUAACCGCGGAGGAUAGAGUUGAGGCCCACACGACAGCCCCUGCUCUCACAGAACUGAUGUCUCUAGAAGAGUCUUCCCUCAGUGAGAACGUUCUGAUUUCUAGAACAUUCUUUCUUCUGAUGAGUGAACAGCCUCACCGGAACUUCCCCAUCCUCCUGGCUUGGUUCCUGAAGUGGCCCAAGGCUGCCUUCUCCCUCCCGUGGGUGAACAGGGUCACUGCUUCCUCUCUUGUCCAGGCCCCCUGGCCUGACCCUGAGUCCCGGGCGUAACGGCGUUGUUGAACCACCACAACCCCAGGCGGCGCCUUCCUCUUGGCCCAGGGGCUCUCUUGGGGACAGUGUGCAGUACUCCCCAAGGGGGCUUUGCUGUGCAAAAGCAGCCCCUGCCGAUGCUGCGGCUCCCGUGGAUGGAGCACUGCCGUGGGAACAGAGUUGGAACUCAUCCAAAAGAAUAAAAGACAACUGUGUUGGAAGAUUGCCAAGGUUUGUAGCUGUGCCACCGCAGACUUCAGAGAUGAACACUGCCUUGGAGACGAGGAGGAUUCAAGUUGCAGAAGCAUUUAGUAACCUUCAUCACCCCCAAGUGGAUGGUCUCCAUUUUCCAAGCUGGCAGCUCACCCCCUCUCUCUGUGCCUCUGCUGCUGCGGUCCACACACCUGGAAUGCCCUCUGCACCCUGCACACGGCAUCCCCCCUCCUUCAAGCAUCGGUCAGAGGCCCCAUCCUCCUACCAGCUCCCUGAUCGCUCCAGUCUGGUGCAUUCAUUGUGUAUCAUUUCUCGCAGGCCCCUGGGUACAAUAGCUGUUUGUAUCCAUUGGUUAUUAAUCUGGGGGGAAUGGCGGCAAAUUUAUCUUAUAGUCCCACAGGUAAACUUUCUGAACCUCUGGUUUUGUCUGUAGAAUUGGUAUAGCCAUUCCUUCAAAAUAGGUGUUUGAAGAAUAUUCAAUAUUAAAACUAACUAUUUAUAAGUAUGUAAAGCUCCUAACAGAGUAUCUGACACAUAGUAGUAAACACACAAUUAUUGUCUAUAGCAGGUGCAGCCAUUUUCAAACGAAGGAAAAGAGGAAGGAAAGAAGGAAGGCAGAAAAAAGGAAGGAAGAAUGGAAAGAAUGGGGGGAGGGAGGAAAGGAGGAAGGCAGGAAGGAAGGGUGAGAAGAAGGAAGGAGGGAAGGGUAAGAAAGCUAAUUUUCUAGAACUUCCUUAACUGUGCCCCUCCCUGCUGUCAGACCCCCAUGGCUUUACCCAUACUCUGGGUUUUCAUGAACACACGGGCAUGUGCUCAACACCUUCUCCUUCCAGCUCCAGAUGCUUUCCUGCAGGUCUCUACCUCAGCUGGCCUCUUUGCAGGAAAUUAACGGCGUCUCCUACCUUCUGGCUCCCAGUUGCGCUGGGCCAGUGGGGCAUAUCGAAAGGAGAGAGAGAGACAGGGCAUUUAUUCUUGGCUUCUUCCCUGUGUGGUUGCCCAGGCUGGCUGUUCCUGACUGAAGGCCUCCUGGCCUGAUGGAGCUGUCUUUCCUCUUCCAGUGGCUGCUCUUGCCCCUCUUCAGGUGAAGAACAUGCUGGUUUCAGGUUGUGACUCACCCCGAGGGGCUUGUGGAUUCCUUAUUCCCAGCUCACAACGUUGUAGCCCUUUAUUAAACACCCCUAACACGUUCCAGAUAGUCUUCCUUCCAAGACCCCAAGGAACACACUCCAUACACGCCUUGUGCUUCAAAUCUCAGAAUCACUGUGUCAAGCAAGAGAAGCCACCCAGGAAACAUAUGUGGGUGAAGUCAAGAACAGGCAGGACCGACCUACUGUGAUGGAAGUCAGAACACUGGAGGUUCAGUUUUGGAUUGGAGUUGACUUGAGGAAACUUUCUGAGGUUUGGAAAUGCUCUGUAUCCUGUUGAGGGUGGUGGUUGUGUGAGUAUAUGCAAUGGUCAAAACUCAUUGAACCCAUACACACGUUUUAUGGUAUCUAAAUGAUACCCCAAUAAGAAGUAAAUACAUAAGAUUACAAAGGAAAAUAACUGUGUUAAAAUAAGAUUAUUAAGAUGUCCAAUACAAAGAAGAUCCUCGUAGUUCCUCAACACACACAGCAACACACGCAUCAGAAUCCUAGGCUCCAGAACCCCAGAGAUGCACUGUCUGGAUGGACCUCUAACAAAGCAACCCCUGAAGGUGCAGCACCCAUCUUGCCGCCCAGGCAAUGCCUCUUCCAAAGGAAUGUACAACUCUUAGAAACAGGGACAUGGUCCCUGGCACAAUCCUAAGCACAGAGUAGGUACCUAAAGCUUGAAACCAAAAGUCAGCCCUCACUUAACAAAUGGAUGAAGAGUCAAAUAGAUUCUUAUUCUGAGCUAGGCAGCAGGUUAGCUACUAGAAGAGCCUAGUCUUCAGUUUUUAAAUUUAAUCUCGUAAACUCAGAAGACUCGUUGGCUCUUGGAGGUUUAGAUGAAUCUGGCUCACCUCUCAACCCCAGGGGUUCAAAGCUUGUGAAAAAUGCUUUGUUUCUCCAGAGAUGCCCCUGUCUCUACUCCCUUGGCUGUGACUGUCAUCUCACUACUACCUCCAUGAUAAUCUGGGCUCAGAUAUCUGCCAUUUGGGUGAGAAAAUCUGCUCCAGCCAAGCAAUGUGUGCUGAGUGGCUUCAUGAAGGACAUUAGGGUGUCAUGGUGCAGGGUUGCCGCUGACUGUCUGAUUAUCAUCAGCCUCCAGUGUGCUCCCUGCAUGCCUGCUUGCAGUCCACUGACUCCUUUAACUUAAAUCCCAGUGGGUGACCUUCUAUACCCUAAGCAUUCACUUGGGAAAUGGAAACUAUUCAUUCUUCUUCUUCUUUUUUUUUUUUUUUUUUUUUUGAGACAAAGUCUCGCUCUGUAGCCCAAGCUGGAGUGCAGUGGCUCGAUCUUGGCUCACUGCAACCUCUGCCUCCCCGGUCCUAGUUCAAGCAAUUCUCCUGCCUCAGCCUCCCAAAUGGCUGGGAUUAUAGGCAUGCGUCACCAUGCCCAGCUAAUUUUUGUAUUUUUAGUAGAGAUGGAGUUACAUCAUGUUGGCCAGGCUGGUCUUGAACUCCUGACCUCAUGAUCCACUUGCCUCAGCCUCCCAAAGUGCUGGGAUUACAGACGUGAGCCACCACACCCAGCCAAAACUAUUCCUUCUACUUUCUCCCAACACAGUGGCCUCUUUCCGACUUUUUUUGAGUUUUUUUCAGGGAUCAACCAAGCUAGGCAAUUUUGCCUUUUAUACAAUCUCCUGAAAUUCUAGUGAAUAACUUUUUUUUUUUCUCAUCUUCCGAUAUCUUGUGAUGGUCCCAAUGCAGAUGAUCUGUCCAGGGGAUGGAUGAGGAAAAGACAAGAAAUGAUGCCCAACUGUGGCCUCCAGACUGACCUCCCCUGACACUGCUUACUCCAUAGGUGAUGGGCAGUACGCUCUUAUGAGACUUUAUUUGAGGAUCUGUUUCCAUGGUACAGGCUAGGUAGGGGACAUAUCUUGUCCCUUCUAUACAGGGCUUCUCAGUCAGGCUGGGCUACUCGUGGUCAGCAGAAGUUUUCAGGCAACUGGGAUACAGAAAGAGCUGAGUGAGGGUGUGAAGAUGGCGAGGAGGGCCAUGGAAGUUCCAGGCUGAGGCUUUGGCAACUCCUUCCACCCUCAGAGCCAGGGUUUACAGGUUUGCCCAUCCAUUUCUGACCCUUCUUCCAGGAGCUAGGAUUGGAAAGGAGUACCUGUACUAACUGGCUUUUCUUCAUUCUCUGACCUCAGUUUCUGGAAUUCUUUUUGGUGCAAUUUGCCCCAAGUUGUCCAUCAAGAGUUGAAGGCAAAAUAAAUGGAGGGCAGUUCAUCUCCCCAAAUCUUUGAGGAAUAUUGUAUUUCUUGCCUUUUCUCCACAGUACUUGGGCUCUAAUGGGUCGCAUGUAAUAGCUGCCUGUAGGGUCACACAUGCACCGGGGGAUGGGUGCAGUGUCUCUUCAGAGCCUCUGGCUUGCUCUGAAGAUCCCUUCUGACUGGAAUGGGAAACCUAACAAUUAUUUCUCCCUGUUGGGAGUUCAGGCUUCUCCAUAAGCUUUGGCUCUGGGGAUGUAAGCUGAACCUUCCAGACCUCUGAGAGGCUUGUCUCCUGGGGACAGCAGAUGACCAUCACCUUCCAUCUGUCUUCCUAAAUGAGCAAGAAUCAGCAAUUCUUGCAUGGGCUUAGUUUCUCUAGGGAUGUCUUGCUGGCAGUUGUUUUCUCAUCACCUUGCUCCAGUGGGACCUGGUCUUCCAAAUUGCAAGCAGGAGGAGUUGGCAUGCAGCUUACUGCCAAAAUCUCAGGAUGUUUUACACCUCGAGGUCUCUUCUUCUUCCUGGUGCUGUGUACUCAGAAACCUGCCACAUAGAUCACAACACUGUGCACAUUCCUGAAUGCUUGUGUGCUGUUGGAUAUUGUUGCCUGGAGACAGGGAGAGUUAUGACUUUUUGACCUUGUAUAAUUUUCAAUUCUGGACCAUGCAAUUUUUCUAUUUAUCACCAUUGCUUCUCCACGUCUGAGGCCUGACUCCUUGGGAACAUUUCAGCAGCUCAGAAUCCUCCUCUUCAAUCUGGCUGUGCCUUCUCGCAGAUGCCAUAUGUUGGCUCACAUCCAUGUGGCUGUGGCCAGUGGAUCCCAGCUUGCCUGGCAGUUACUCCUUAGGAGGAUACCAGGCUCUGGGGAGUCUGCCCCAGCAGGUGAAUCAGGAGAAAGGCCCUUCUCAAUGAUCAAAGUUUUUUGUUCCUUUUUCAGGAUUGUGUGUCACUUAAGAAGCUGCAGUAAUCACCCAUGGCCAGGAUUUCCUCUGGUUGGUGGGUUGAUGAGUUUAUUCCUUGUCAUGCAAUGCCCUGGCUAAGACACCACAGAAUGCUUUGUAUGUGUUGCUCUCUCUACCUGCCUGACCUGUGUGUUACUCCACACAUUUCCAUGUGAACCUCAGGGUUCUGUCAACCCUCUCCCCUGGCCCAAGCAACAACAUGGCCAGUGCAGAAACAGUCAUCUUUCUUCCUUGAGCUGUAGGUUCCCUGGUCUCAUAGUCAAGAUGAGGGUGGACUUAGACCCACUAUUAGACUCAAAAUACUGCAUUUUGCAUUGGGGGCCAGUUUAUCUGCUGGUCCAGUGUUCUGGGGCUGCUCAGAUGUCACUUGGGGCUGCUUUAGAUCCCGAAUAUUUAGGGAAACAUGGCUCAAGCCUUCAGUCUCAUGGACUAUAUGAGCCCAGAGCUCUCCCCACAAUUCCUGUGAAUUCUAACCUUGGGUCCUCAGGGUCCCAUGUGGACCCCUUUGCCAAUGGGAUGCAAAUUUCUGCUGGUUCACAGAUUUCCUCUAAAAAUUUUACUGAAAGCUUAUCUUCUGCCACUUCUGUGCUUUUUGUUGGCUUAUUUGUUUCGUUUUUUGUUUUUAUUUUUUUAGUAAAAAAUAGGCACUAUAGGCAGGUCAGCUUUCCAUAUUUUCCUUUUCCCAAUUAUGAUGAAUAUAGUUUUAUUUAUUUAAUUAGCUAAGUAUUUUUAUGUUGGACUUUGCAGCAGCCUCAAGUAUUAUUUCAGACUUGGCAGGCAGCAUUUCCUGCACAGGUAGGUGUGAAUUUAUAAGCAAGGAGGUUGGAGGUUAGUGGUGAUUAUUUAACACUAUUUGGCUUAACAGAUGUAAUCUAAAUAUAGAUAAAUGAGAAAAAUGAGAGUUAAAACACCUAUUUCCGCCAUUUGAACCAGCAAUCCCGUUACUGGGUAUAUACCCAAAGGAUUAUAAAUCAUUCUACUAUAAGACACAUACACAUAUAUGUUUAUUACAGCAGUGUUCACAAUAGCAAAGACUUGGAACCAACCCAAAUGCCCAUCAGUGAUAGACAAGGUAAAGAAAAUGUGGCACAUAUACACCAUGGAACCAUAAAAAGGGAUGAGUUCAUGUCCUUUUCAGGGACAUUGAUGAAUCUGGAAACCAUCAUUCUCAGCAAAGUUAACACAGGAACAGAAAACCAAACACUGCAUGUUCUCACUUACAAGUGGGAGUUGAACAAUGAGAACACGUGGACACAGGGAGGGGAACAUUACAUACCGGGACCUGUCGGGGGAUGAGGGGCUAAGGGAGGGAGAGCAUUAGGGGAAAUACCUAAUUUAGAUGAUGGGUUGAUGGGUGCAGCAAACCACCAUGGCACGUGUAUACCUAUGUAACAAACCUGCACAUUCUGCACAUGUAUCCCAGAACUUAAAGUAUAAUUCAAAAUAAAAAAGAAAAACAAAAAACACCUAUUUCCAUAUUUAUGUAUGUUUCCUCAAAAAGUACAAUGGCUUUUUUUCCCUCUACUUCUCAAACUUAUUUUUAUUAAAACCAUUGCAUUCUUAUUAUUAAGUAUUUACUCUAUGUGUAUUUUAAAUAAGACUUAUAAUUGGAUUAAAUAAAUAGUAUGUAGUAAGUUGCAAUUGUGACUUUGUUCAAAUUUCCAGAUAUUUUAAAUCACCACUUAAUGCAAUCCUGGCUCUAACAUUGAGGCAUAAGUAUAUUUCACACACAUUUCUUAUUCUAGGGGUUAGACUGCUUUCUAGGCAAUGUUCUUUCCAAAUAUUCAGCCUUUCUGAAGACUGGAUGUGAUUCUUUUUAAUUUUUUUUAAGAUGGAGUUGCACUCUUGUUGCCCAGGCUGGAAUACAAUGGCAUGAUCUCGGCUCACCACAACCUCUGCCUCCCAGGUUCAAGCAAUUCUCCUGUCUCAGCCUUCCAAGUAGCUUGGAUUACAGGCACAUGCCACCACACCUGGCUAAUUUUUGUAUUUUUCUUUUAGUAGAGACGGCGUUUCAUCAUAUUGGUCAGGCUGGCCUUGAACUCCUGACCUCAGGUGAUCUGCCCACCUUGGCCUCCCAAAGUGCUGGGAUUACAGGCAUGAGCCACCACACCCGGCCGGAUGUGAUUCUUUAUAGGAAUUUUCGCUGGAAAACUUUUUAUUUAACUGCUUAACCUGAAUAAAAUAAUAAUAAUGAUGAUAAUGAUAAUAAUUUCAGCCAGGUGUGGUGGCAUAUGCCUGUAUGCCAGAUAGUCUGGAGACUGAGGUGAGAAGAUCAUUUGAGCCCGGGAGUCCAAGUCCAGCCUGGGUAACAUAGCCAGAUUCUGUCUCUAAAAAAUAUAAUAAAAUAAACACAAAUUUUGCUUCUUUGACUCUUUCCAUGAGACUUAGAAGAAAAUAUAUGCAUAGCUUUCUGUUCCUUUCCUAGCCAACAGAACACCUCCUUCACAGUUUUGUGAUUAAAGAACAUGAUGUCCACCAUAUUUUUAAGUGAUAAUCUGCUCGUGUUUAAUGGUCUAUUGCUGCCUUUAUCUCUAUUUCUCUAUAGAUGCAUUUUUCAAACGUAAGAUGUCCAUACCAUUUUGUCUUGUUUACUCACUUAUCCUAAACAUAUUCCAGUGUUUCUCCAGAGUCUUCAAUAAAUGUAAUUAUUAACACCCAUAAUCUACCAUUCUAGCUGCAUUUACAACAAUCAAAACUUUUAUUUUCCCUUUAACAUCUAUAAAUGCAUUUGCACAAAAAGCUGCUCUUAGCCUGUGGUUUUAGGUGAGCUGCCUGGGUUGGGCUCCUGACUUUGCUUCACACUGGCUCUGACUUUGCAGAAGUUACUCACCACCCUAGUGUUCUCAUCUGUAGAAUGCUGGUAAUAAUAGUGCCUUCUUCAUUGGACUGGCUUGGGGAUCAAAUGUGUAAUUACUUUGAAUGCCUUUGGAUCAGGGUCUGGCACAGACUAACCCCUCAAUAAAUGUCGACUAUCACUGUUUUCCCAUGCUUACUUUUAUUUUUGCAAAUGUCUACACUGGAAAUCAUCACUAGUUCCCCAGGCUGCCUGUGUAUCUGUGUAGGUUGUGCAACACAUACUCUUAAUUCUUUUCACUCUUCACCGUUUGUGGAGAAUCCCCUGGAAACUCUACUUUCUGAUUUAAGUGGGUUUCCAGGUAGAGUAAAUUAAAGCAUCUUGGUGUGGAGGCCACCUGGCCACCUUGCCUUAAUUAUAGAAGUAACAAUAGCAUUCCCUAAGAAGACAGCUGCUGCUUCUGAAAAUUUAGGUGACAUGUGCCUUGUGGAACAUGCUUUGUGUGACAAGAAGCGAUUUAAUUUCUUUGCAGGUAGACACAAACAAAGAGGCAACAAAGAAAUUAGAAGGUUGUAUAAGAAGCUGCAUAGAAUCACAAUGACUGCGUUGUCCUGAAACCAACCCAGGUGACUUUCUGAAUAAGUUGGUGCUCAAUUAAUUUACUGUUAACUAGUACUCCUAUAGCUAGCUACAUUGCUUUCUAGUUCCAAUUAGACCAUUAGGAAGUUUGGCAAGUUGAACUUUUCUCUGUGUCUCAAAUCUGCCAUUCUUCAAAUGGAGAGAAAGAAUCUGAACUUCACAGGGAGUAAAACACUUUGAAAUGUAAAUAUAAAUGUAGAUGCAUAUAUACAAUAAACCAUAAAAUAUUAUGCAAAUAUCUUAUUAACACUAUGCAUUUUCUUGGAAAGGAGGUAAAGGCUGAGAUGAUUUUCAUUCACAUUUUCAGGGUGCUCAUCUUUCAAUUAAAAUUGGGAGUAGCGGUUUUUGUGAAUGAAGAAAAGUUUAUUCAGAUAUAUAUUUAACUCACAUGAUAGAGGGACCCUGUGGAGGUCUCUGUAUAAUAUAAUACCAUCCUUUCUUUUCAGAGAUGUCUUUACUUUUCAAAGACCACCUGGGUGAGCAGGGGGGAAGACCAGGGUCAGGCUCACAGACCUUCCCCUACUGUGUGCUGCCGAGGCUGUACUUUGAGUAAAUUUCAUUUUGAAUCAGCAAAGACAAAAGGCAUUGCUUGGUAGAAGCACAGUGGAUUUAAAAUUAGAAGACCUGCGUUUGCCUUUGCUUCUCCUGGGCAAUUCUUAACACAUUAAGAAUCUUUCCCUAGUGUCCUGCUCUUCUAUCUGCUUGCUGAUUUUCUCUGAAGUGCGUUGCAUGUCCACAUGGUCCAGAUCCCUACCCACUUCUCUUCUGACUGUCACUUGGAUUCAAAUAUAACUACCUUUUAGUUAUAAGUAUAUAUAAAAAAACUAUGAACAUAGCCUUUCUAGCUAGCUAUAUUGCUUUCUAGCACUUUUGAAUGACAGAAUUACAUUUUUGUUUAAUCCCAGAGAUUAUCAUGUCACUAAGUUUUUCUUUACAUAUUAAUUUAAAGCUAAGCUUUAAUUGAAAAAGAAAUCUGAUAUUAAAGUAGAAAUUUUCUUGCAUGCAAUCAGAUUCUAUCAAAGACUUAAGAAAUUAUUCAUUUUUAAGGAAAUAAGGAUAUGUUUUAAAAAUACAAAACUUAUAUGGAAACAGUUUGUUAUAGGCUGAAUUGCAUCCCUCCAAAUUCAUAUGUGGAAUUGCUAACUGCCAGUACCUCAGAAUGCGACCUUACUUGGAAAUAGGCUCAUUGCAAAUGCAAUUAGUUAGGAUGAGGUCAUACUGGAGUAGGGUGGGGCCCUAAUCCAAUGUGACUGGUGUUUUUAUGAAAGGGGAAAUGUGGACAUUGACACACAUACACAGUGCACCACGUCAAGACGAAGGCAGAGAUCAGGGUGAUAUAUCUACAAGCCACAGAGCACCAAAGAUGGCCAGAAAAACACCAGAAGCUGGGAGACAAGCAUGGAACAGGUUCUGCCUCACAGCACUCAGAAGGAAGAAACCUGCCCACACAUUGAUCUUGGACUUCCAGCCCCCAGAACUGUGAGACAAUACAUUUCUGUUGCUUAAACCACCCAGUGUGUGGUAGUUUGUCAUGGCAGCCCUAGCAAACUAAUACAGAUUUUGGUAACAGAAAGUGGGAUGCUUCUGUAACAAAUAGCUAAAAAUGUGGAAGUGGCUUUGGAAUUUGGUAAUGGGUAGAGGUUAGAAGAGUUCUGAGAUGCUUGACAGAAGAAGCCUGGAUUGCCUGUAGGAGACUGUUGUAGAAAUAUGAUCGUCAAAGGUGUUUUCAGUGAGGCCUCAGAUGGAAAUGAGAAACAUGUUAUAUGAAGCUGCAGGAAAGAAAACCUUUGUUACAAAGUGCAGAUAACUUGGCUGAACUGUGUUCUACUUUUUGAAAAGUAGAACUUAUAAGGAAUGAAAUAGGAUAUUUAGCUGAGGAUAUUUCUAAGCAAAGUGUUGAAGGCAUGGUCUGGCUUCUUCUUGCUGCUUUUGGUAAAAUGCAAAAGGAGAGAGAUGAAUCAAAGAAGGGACUGCUUAUCAGAAAGAAAUCAGCACUUAAUGUUUCAGAAGAUUCUCAGCGUAUCCAGAUAUAGUGUGCUCUGGAAACAGGGCCAAAGGUGUGGCUGGACAACCACUUGCCAGAGAGACUCAGUGUGCCGCUUGUGGAUCCAGUCAACCAUCUCUGCAGAAAUGCUGCCAGCUUGGACUGAAGGGACAGAGAUGGGAUGAAAUGAAGAAAGGCUGUCAGGAUUCUGGGGUUCUACAAGCAGGAAAUGGGCUAAUAGAGCUACUCAGCUGCAAAUAUGUGUUAUCCUUACAAGAAGGAAGGAAUGUCUUCGAAGGCAGUUCAGGUGCUGGCAAAGCUGCCAUCAGGGCCCAGAGGGCAGCAUCCUUCACCCAGGUGUGGUACAUGAGGCGCCUGUCCCUUGCUGCUUGUGGCUUGUUGAGUCACUGCUGACAUGGUCGGUGAGCACCAGGUCUGGACUCUGUUCUCUCUACCUUGAUCUCCUAGGUUUUAUUCUCAGCUUGGUACCUGGGUUUGUUCUGGGUGCCCAUUUGAUUGGCAUCCUUGGUGGAAUUAGGCCAUUCUUUUUUAUCCCUCUUUACUCUCUUUUAUGUUUCUGUUUUGCAUUGUCCUGUCUGAAAUUGUUGUUUGGCCCAGAAGGAGACUUACAAGGUAGAAUGCAGGCAUAGAUCCUGUAAGCUUGUUGUUUGAGCCAGCCUCACAGACUGGUGAGUGUACAGUUCUCACUGGGCUGAUAUCCACCUGGACUAAUUUUGCUGUGAGUGACUAAUAGAACUGGAUGAGGUUCUCCUUCCAUCUGAAGUUUUUGUCUAAGUGCUUGGCUUGGCUCCACAGACAGUGUUCUCGCUGGUUUUUUGUCUGCUGGUGGUGCAGAUUGUCAAGCUUGCAUUGGGAGGAGGACAGCCAUCAUGCUGGGGACUCAAAACAUGAAGUGCUCAAGCCUCACAUUUCUACUGACCACUGCCAACACUCGUGGGGUUGUCCAAGUAUAAAUCCUUGCCUCCUCUAGGAAAAACUCCUGCUUCUUAUACUUACUCCCAUUACAAUGCUAAUUCUUGUGCCUAUCUCUAAACGACAUAACUUCAUCAAGGAUGAUUUGAUUUUCAGUGGCCACUCUGGGGAAGACUUGACUAGAGCAAAAUUGUUCAUUUGAGAAGUGCUUUAGAAAAAAAAGGAAAUAAGUUUUCUCAGGCCCAAUGGGCAGCAUUUUUUAAUUGGUAUGCAAGGCCUCCAAAUGAAAUUCUGAUUUAAUAAUUGCUUCACUAAGAGUCAUUGGCUAAAGCUAAUGAGCAAUUUGACUAAAUUAAGCAACAACAAACUAGACUCAUUUGCCUGCUAAAUCCUUUUCCAUCCUGUCUUUCAGUUGCUUCCCUCUACAAAACUCUCCUUCAUUCCCCUUAUCUUUUUGAUGUCUCUCCUUACUCACCCCUAUCAACUCCUCCCUUAUUAUACCCCUGUUCAGACUCCCUCCCUUUCGCCUAAGACCCAAACUUCCACCUCUCCCAUGAGCCAGGUAUGCAGGUAACUAUAGAAUUUAAGCCUUGGACCUGAGCUGAAUUAAGGAUUUCUCUAAAUACAAAUUAGACCAGCAACUACUGGUAGAAGAAAUCAGAAUUAUAUUGAGCGCCUAUAAGCUGCAUUGCCCACCCUAUAUUAACCUCUUUUUUUAUUGCUGUCCUAAAUUCUUUAAUUUGAAAAAGGAAGAAAUGAGCAUGAGUCAUUUAAAAGAAGAAUUCAAAAGCCAGACUGGUAGAAAUGGGGUAAGUUGUGCUGCUGGUUAAAAUUCUCAACCAGGGCUUGGAGAAGCACAAUGGCCAGCAGCUCUUAGGUUAGUGACUUGGUUAGUCAAUAUCCAGGAUUGCAGAAAAUGUUUAAUUGGCAGGCUGGGCACUUUUGGAGGCACCAAGGAAUACCUCUACUCAGCCUAUUGCUCCUUAGGAUAAAGCAAGAUAGAUGAUAUCUUCUAAGGCUUCCAUGGGUUUAGACUGACACUCGUCCUCAUGACUCCAGCAAGCUUUGGAUUCUGACAGUGGAACUGUAAGUGCUAAUGUGGGAAUCCAUGGAGAGGUUUGGGGGAAUUUGGGGGUGGAGACAGAGUAAGCCAUGAGAAAUUGUACAUAAAAUUAUAUGUGUAUGUGUGCCUAUGCAUAUUUUCCUGAGGAUAGAGUCACUAGAGUUUAUCAGAUUAUCAAACGGUCCUGAGUCCCAAAAAAAGGCCAAGAACUACUUCAGUUUAGGUUAUGGCUGAGGCUUUGGGGUCUCUAUAA